rnacentral:rRNA from 1 species
CGGAGGGUGCGAGCGUUGUCCGGAAUCACUGGGCGUAAAGGGCGCGUAGGUGGCCCGUCAAGCGCGCGGUGAAAGCCCGGGGCUCAACCCCGGGUCGGCCGUGCGGACUGGCGGGCUCGAGCACUGUAGGGGCGGGUGGAAUUCCGGGUGUAGCGGUGGAAUGCGUAGAGAUCCGGAAGAACACCGGUGGCGAAGGCGGCCCGCUGGGCAGGAAGGCUCGCAAGAGCCGGCUGACACUGAGGCGCGACAGCGUGGGGAGCAAACAGGAUUAGAUACCCUGGUAGUCCACGCCGUAAACGAUGGGCACUAGGUGCCUGGGGGAGCGACCCCCCGGGUGCCGGCGCUAACGCAUUAAGUGCCCCGCCUGGGGAGUACGGCCGCAAGGCUG